UGGCUCAGAGCGAACGCUGGCGGCAGGCUUAACACAUGCAAGUCGAGCGGGCGUAGCAAUACGUCAGCGGCAGACGGGUGAGUAACGCGUGGGAACGUACCUUUUGGUUCGGAACAACCCAGGGAAACUUGGGCUAAUACCGGAUAAGCCCUUACGGGGAAAGAUUUAUCGCCGAAAGAUCGGCCCGCGUCUGAUUAGCUAGUUGGUGAGGUAAUGGCUCACCAAGGCGACGAUCAGUAGCUGGUCUGAGAGGAUGAUCAGCCACAUUGGGACUGAGACACGGCCCAAACUCCUACGGGAGGCAGCAGUGGGGAAUAUUGGACAUGGGCGCAAGCCUGAUCCCAGCCAUGCCGCGUGAGUGAUGAAGGCCCUAGGGUUGUAAAGCUCUUUUGUGCGGGAAGAUAAUGACGGUACCGCAAGAAUAAGCCCCGGCUAACUUCGUGCCAGCCGCCGC
rnacentral:rRNA from 1 species